rnacentral:tRNA from 1 species
GAGGCUAUAGCUCAGUGGUAGAGUGCCUGCUUAGCAUGCAUGAGGUCCUAGGUUCAAUCCCCAGUACCUCCA